rnacentral:rRNA from 1 species
UACGAAGGGGGCUAGCGUUGCUCGGAAUCACUGGGCGUAAAGGGUGCGUAGGCGGGUCUUUUAAGUCAGGGGUGAAAUCCUGGGAGCUCAACUCCAGAACUGCCUUUGAUACUGAGGAUCUUGAGUUCGGGAGAGGUGAGUGGAACUGCGAGUGUAGAGGUGAAAUUCGUAGAUAUUCGCAAGAACACCAGUGGCGAAGGCGGCUCACUGGCCCGAUACUGACGCUGAGGCACGAAAGCGUGGGGAGCAAACAGG